AAUGAACGUUGGCGGCAGGCCUAACACAUGCAAGUCGAACGGUAGCACAGAGAGCUUGCUCUUGGGUGACGAGUGGCGGACGGGUGAGUAAUGUCUGGGAAACUGCCCGAUGGAGGGGGAUAACUACUGGAAACGGUAGCUAAUACCGCAUAACGUCUUCGGACCAAAGUGGGGGACCUUCGGGCCUCACACCAUCGGAUGUGCCCAGAUGGGAUUAGCUAGUUGGUGGGGUAAUGGCUCACCUAGGCGACGAUCCCUAGCUGGUCUGAGAGGAUGACCAGCCACACUGGAACUGAGACACGGUCCAGACUCCUACGGGAGGCAGCAGUGGGGAAGAUUGCACAAUGGGCGCAAGCCUGAUGCAGCCAUGCCGCGUGUAUGAAGAAGGCCUUCGGGUUGUAAAGUACUUUCAGCGGGGAGGAAGGCGAUGGAGUUAAUAGCUUCAUCGAUUGACGUUACCCGCAGAAGAAGCACCGGCUAACUCCGUGCCAGCAGCCGCGGUAA
rnacentral:rRNA from 1 species